GAUAUGAGAGUGUUGGUCCUGA
rnacentral:miRNA from 1 species